rnacentral:rRNA from 1 species
GACGAACUGUCCUAACGUUGUUCGGAAUCACUGGGCUUAAAGGGCGCGUAGGCGGUCCGACAAGUCGGGGGUGAAAUCCUGCAGCUUAACUGCAGAAGUGCCUUCGAUACUGUCGGUCUUGAGGGAGAUAGGGGUGUGCGGAACUUCCAGUGGAGCGGUGAAAUGCGUUGAUAUUGGAAGGAACGCCGGAGGCGAAAGCGGCGCACCGGAUCUCUUCUGACGCUGAGGCGCGAAAGCUAGGGGAGCAAACGGG